rnacentral:rRNA from 1 species
UCCUACGGGAGGCAGCAGUAAGGAAUAUUGGACAAUGGGCGAAAGCCUGAUCCAGCAAUACCGCGUGAGGGAUGACGGCCUUUGGGUUGUAAACCUCUUUUAUCAAGGAGGAAGUUCUGACGUGUACUUGAUGAAUAAGCAUCGGCUAACUCCGUG